rnacentral:rRNA from 1 species
GACGAAGGAUGCAAGCGUUAUCCGGAUUCAUUGGGUUUAAAGGGAGCGUAGGCGGAUUUGUAAGUCAGUGGUGAAAUCUCUGGGCUCAACCCAGAAACUGCCAUUGAUACUGCAGAUCUAGAGUACAGUUGCCGUUGGCGGAAUAUGACAUGUAGUGGUGAAAUACUUAGAUAUGUCAUAGAACACCGAUUGCGAAGGCAGCUAACGAAACUGUAACUGACGCUGAGGCUCGAAAGUGCGGGGAUCAAACAGG